AAUCACUGGUGAGUGCGGGCCUGGCGUCAGCGGUCUCUGAGCAGAGUGCGAGCGAAGCUGUGCGCGGGCGUUUGUAGCCUGCGUAAUAGCGCGGAGCACCGCCUAGGAGGAACUUGGGGGCGGUUUCCAGGGCGUCUGAAGUCGCUCCCAGACGCCGCUUCGCCACGGCCACACCUGCGUACAGUCAACAAGGUGUCCUACUCGUAGUCCAAGACACGUCCCAGAACCCAGAAAGAAAAAUGAGUUUCCGUGCCAGUGGUAGGAAUUACAACGUUCAGUUUAGAAUCUGCAGUGCCAUCUCUUACGUCGUAACCAAGACGAUGGGACCAACUUUCGGCAGUGACAGAUGACUCAUGCUUGAAGCACCAGACUCCACAGCUCAGAACCCUCGCUGCUGUCUUCCACAAGCCAGACGCAGCACAAGCACGCUGCGUGUGGUCAACACCUUUUAGGUCACCUGCCCAGCUGGUCUUUGAAUGUGGGAAUGAAGCCAUGACGUCACCCAGGCUCUAGGGCUUCUGUCUCAUGAUGAGGGGAACUGGGAUCCAGAUGCUACUCAGGCCAUCCUGUCAGCUGCCAUGGCAGAUCUUGGUGGCCUUGGGCUGGCCACCUCUACCACAGACACAUGGAGGCCACACACGUAGCUCUCCACAGAGGGGUGGUGACAUCAUAUCUAGCUAGAACCCACUGGGGACUCCAUGCUGUCCUCACCAUCAAUUCUUUUUUUUUUUUUUUUUAAGAUUUAUUUAUUUACUUGAGAGGCAGAGUUACAGACAGAGAGGUCUUCCAUCCACUGGUCCACUCUCCAAAUGGCCACAAUGGCCAGAGCUGGGCUGAUCUGAAGCCAGGAGACAGAAGCUUCUUCCAGGUCUCCCAUGUGGGUCCAGGGGCCCAAGCACUUGGGCCAUCUUCCAGUGCCUUUCCAGGCCAUUAGCAGGGAGCUGGAUCUGAACUGGAGCAGCCAAGACUUGAACCUGCACCCAUAAGGGAUGCUAGCACCACAGGUGGAUGCUUAACUCACUAUGCCACAAUGCCAGCCCCUUCAUAAUCAAUUCUAACCUCCUGACCUACAUAGUCUCCAACAGCAUGCCAUGUAGCCUAUUUCUUCUGCCACUUCUCCUCAGAUUCCCCAGAGUCCAGCACUGUCAGUCACUUGUCACUGGCACUUGCAGUCUUCUCAGCCAGGAAUGACCUCAGCCUGCACCGCUGUCCCCUUCCCCUGGCCCACUCCUUUUCUGUCUUCAGGUUUGAAUUUACGUGAUGCUUCCUCAGGGAUGCCUUCCACCGCCUGGAAGGAUGGGGUACCUGCUGUUCCCACAGACCCCCAAAGUGACCCAUCUACGUCUACCUCUGUAAACACUUGUCCUUAUGCUGGAAAGUUAAAAAAUUCCAGUUAGGGGGUGGGUGUGUGGCACAGUGGUGAAGACGCCACCUGGGAAGCCCACAUCCCAUACAUGGUGCCUGGGUUUGAGUCCUGGCUCCAUUCCAGAUUCCAGCUUCUUGCUAAUGCGGACCCUGGGAGGCAGCAGGCAAUGGCUCAAGUAGUUGAGUCCCUGCCGCCAAUGUGAGAGACCCCGAUGGAGUUCUUGCCUCCUGGCUUUGGCCUGGCUUAGCCCCAGCUGUUGUGGGCAUGUGAAGAAUGAACCAACAGAUGGAUGAUCUCUUGUGCUCUCUCUGCCUUUAAAUAAAUAAAUAAUAAAUAAAAUAAAAGGUACCCAAUAAGCCUGGAAAAUGGCCUAAAUCUUUGGUUUCUUUUUAAUUUUUUUAAAAAGAUUUUAUUUAUUUAUUUGAGAGGUAGAGUUACAGACAGUGAGAGGGAGAGACGGAGAGAAAGGUCUUCCGUCCGUUGGUUCACUCCCCAAAUGGCUGCAAUGGCUGGAGCUGUGCCGAUCUGAAGCCAGGAUCCAGGAGCUUCUUCUGGUCUCCCAUACGGGUGCAGGGGCCCAAGAACUUGAGCCAUUUUCCACUGCUUUCCCAGGCAAUAGCAGAGGGCUGGAUUGGAAGAGGAGAAGCCAGGACUAGCACCGGCACCCAAAUGGGAUGCUGGUGCCACAGGCAGCCACUGCGCCAGCCCCAAUCUUUGGUUUCUUAAGACUUUCUGGAAUAUUCCCAGAGAUAAAGUAGGAGGUCCAGGUGGCUGUCUUUUCUGUAAUGGUCACACACCCGCCCCCACCAUGACCAGGCAGCCCCUCAGGUGAGCGAAGGACACUUCCACAUCAGGAGUCUCUCUCUGUGAAGGCAGCUUGUUGUUGUUUCCGGGACUAUCUUGGCGAUUUCCUCAGACCUGAACCCUACAAAGGCAUAACCUGUGCUAUGGAAAAAUCCACCACAAAAGUAGACCAAUUAAAUGCUAAAGCAUC